AACGAACGCUGGCGGCAUGCCUAACACAUGCAAGUCGAACGAGACCGUCGGGUCUAGGGGCGCACGGGGGCGUAACGCGGGGGAACCUGCCCUUAGGUUCGGAAUAACUCCCCGAAAGGGAUGCUAAGACCGGAGAAUGUCUUCGGACCAAAGAGUUAUCGCCUUUGGGUGGGCCCGGGUUGGAUUAGGUAGUUGGUAGGGUAAAAGCAUACCAAGGCGACGAUCCAGGGCUGGUCGGGGAGGAGGAUCAGCUACACUGGGACUGCGACACGGCCUAGUCUCGUACGGGGGGCAGCAGUGGGGAAUAUUGGACGCUGAGCGCAAGCGUGAUCCAGCCAUGCCGCGUGAGUGGUGCAGGCCUUAGGGUUGUAAAGUUCUUUUUCCCGGGAUGAUAAUGACAGUACCGGGUGAAUAAGCUCCGGCUAACUCCGUG
rnacentral:rRNA from 1 species